UUGAAUUGCAGUCUGGGCUUUGCUUGC
rnacentral:piRNA from 1 species